UUCCCCUGCUGCAUCUCGCUCUUUUUUCGGGUGGGGGAGGCAAAAAUAAAUCUACCUUUGCCACCCUGGGAGCCGAAGAGCUGGGCGUGGGGGGGGGGGGACAUCCUAUAUGGAUACAGAUCGAAUUUCCAGAGAUCUUAUUUUUGGUUUGCAAAGCCGCCUUACUCUUUCUCGCAUCUCUCCUCCUGGUGCCAAAGUGGUACCCAAGUCAUUAAGGAUGCAGAUAAAAGGAUGGGGGCGUGAAUGACGCGGCGCACACAGCGCUGUUAACCACUUGGUGACCGGACCACCAGACCCUGAAGGAAGAGCUGGAGAUAUUUUUCUUUCUUUCCCUCGUUGGUUUGAUUGUAAAAGGUGCCUCGUUUCGUAGCAGGGAGUCUAUCUGCGUCUUAGAGAGAGAUUUUUUCCCCUUUCUUUUUCAAAAUACGAUUGAAACCCACACGGCAUCUGGAAGCUUCUCCCACCCACCCCUGCUCCCGCCGUUGCCCAAAAGUUUUUGAACUUGAAUUUUCUCAGGGAUUAAUCCCCGCUCCGCUUCCCCAGCGCUCUGCACUGUUUUUGACCUCACGUGUUUGCCCCAAGUGCUGUGCGUAAACUCUUUCCUUGCGGUUUUUUUUUUUUUUAAAGGAUUCCUCGUCGGUGUGUGUGUGUGUGUUGUUUGGUUGUUUGUUCUGCCUCAGGACCGUGGGAGGGGGAGGUCAAACAAUAUCCCCCCCUCCACUGGAGCUGCCCGGCCGCCCGCCCCCUUCCCACUUUUUAGUUCAUGCAGCUUUGGGGGACCUUUCACGCUCUGGACAAUGCGCCUUUUGGAAACGAGACUGUUUGGUUUUCAAGACACGUUGAGAGCUGGGGGGGGGGAUGUGUGUGUAGAAGCAGGAACGGCGAGUGAGCAAAAAACAAAACAAAACCCAAACCCAUCGCAGCUCCCUCACCACCCCCCUUCAUCCCCCCCUACCCCCCUCUGACUUGGAUCUGUGAGAAAAUGUGUCUGGACUUGGAAGACAGAGAGAAAUUGAACCUUUUUCUACCCUGCCUGCCUCCUCUCUCUCUGAUCCCCCCUCCACUAUAAAAAAUUGCAUCGCCCUCCCUCUCCCCCGCAACUUUUGCCACUCAGCCAAGCAAAAGUAACAGCGUUUAUUAUUUUCGAAUGGGGGAGAGUUUUUUGGGUUUUUUUAAAGGGAUUUGGAUAGCAGAAGCGCCCAUCCCAUUUUCUGCCAAGACCGAAGGUAGGGACACUGCGAACUUCUGGUUUCUUCCAGCUGCUUCCGAAAAAGUUUUCAUUUUUCCCUCCUCCCAGGAGACGGGGGACCCUAAGACAUUCCCCCCCUCCUUUUCUCCUAAACUUCAGCUGCCUUGAGAAGGUCGAUCUGGCUUUACUCGUGGAGGAAACUACUUGACAAGCAAACCGAACUGGAAACAAACAAAAAGGGCAGGAACUUAGCGAAUUCCAGGAGAAGGAAGGAGACCCGAAUUAGUAAUUCCAUUCUGGAUGGAGGUAUCCGAGCCAUUGUAGAUGAACUGGGAUCAGAUAUUGGAACAGAGAACCGGACGUAUCUGAUGGAUUUUCCUCUCCGAGCAACAUCGGAAGAAAUUUGGGUGGCUGUUGGAAUGAAAGACCCAGAUGAAUACCAGAGGCUAGGAAACCAACUUAAUGGCUACCCUGAAGUUUCUGUGUGCCUCCUGGAGCCAACAAAACCCAACCUUCUAUACCUUGCUUCUCCGAACAGGAAAAAUGGCACCAGCAUCAUUAAAUGAUUUGCUCUGAGUCGGGUCGAAGAAAUUGCUUCUGUCGUAUCGCUCGAGGCAGGGAUGCAUUGAGUGAUCAAAGAUGACUCUUUAUCGCUAAGAUUAUUUCCAGUCUCACCACAGUUCCUGAAGAUGAAUAAAGUCAUCUUUGAGAGAGAGAGGACGGUCUCACCCUUCGUGCGUGUUGCUCAGAGACUCUGGAGCUGUGGCUCCCCACGGACUGACCGCUUGGUUGAGCUGCUCAAAGGGAAACUUAACUGAAGGGGUGAACCCAGCCCAGCUCCUGCUCUUCGGAGACGGGGGGAUCCUGCAAAGUUUACAGGAGCAGAAGAGAAUCCAGACUGCAGAGUCCUCCCUGAGAUCUGACCAGAAGACAUCCCCUCCCUGGACUUGUGUUUCGAACAGAAUCAAUGUUGACAUGGCGAGAGACAUCGGAUAUUAACAGCAGCCGCUGUGGAUCAUUCGCCCAUGAUCCAAGCCCAACAUCCCAACUUGCAUGACAUCCAUGCCAAAUGCUGGGCCGGUCCUUAGCGUGGUCCCCAACUUUUAAAGUACCCCUGCCUUAUCCUUACUUUAAAAAUUUUCAUUAUAUAUAUCCUGUUCUCUAAGGUGCGCUACGAAUCACGAUGUGCAGAGUUCUUUCCCUUAUAUAUCCUCACAACCAAGCUGUGGCGUAAGUGAGGCUGACAGGUGAUGAUUGGCCGUAGAUCACUCGCUGAGUUUCAUGGCUGAGUAGGGAUUUGAACCCAGGACUCACCCCUCUAACCAUUGCACCAUACACUGGUUCUCCGCCAAAUCUGUACAUGUGGCUAUCCUUCAUCUUACACAAACCCCUGCAAAAAGAGAAAAAAGCAUGCAUUUUGAAAAUAAUUGCACAACCCAGGGAUUUGGGGUGCUGUGUAUCGGUGAUGACACAGGUGCUAGCCAAUAGAUAUCCAGAUUUUCCUUAGUGUAACAUUUAAACAGAGGGUUAAGACAGUGUUCUGUUGGCUGGAAGGAUUUGAACAGUAAGAUCAAGUAGGGUCCUGAGUGGAAUCAUUACUGAGAUGGACCCCAUCUUACAUAAGAACAGCCCUGCUGGAUCAGGCCCAAGAAGACCCAUCUAGUCUAGCAUCCUGUUCCCUACAGUGGCCCACCAGAUGCCUCUGAGAAGCCCACAGGCAGGAGUUGAGGGCAGGCCCUCUCUCCUGCUGUUGCUCCCCUGCAACUGGUAUUGAGAGGCAUCUUGCCUCUGAGGCUGGAGGUGGCCUUUAGUCACUGGACUAGUAGCCAUUGAUAGACCACUCCUCCAUGAAUUUGUCUAAGCCCUUCUUAAAGCCAUCCCAUAGAUUAAUUAUGCAUUAUGUGAAAAAGUACUUCCUUUUGUCGGUCCUAAAUUUCUUGGCAAUUAGUUUUGUGGGGUGACCCCUGGUUGUAGUGUUAUGAGAGAGGGAGAGAAAUUUCUCUCUAUCAACUUUCUGCACACCAUGCAUGAUUUUAUACACCUCUAUCAUUUCGCGCGCACACACACCCCAGUCCUCAUUUUUCUAAACUAAAAAGCCCCAGGUGCUGUAGUCUUGCCUCAUAAGAAAGGUGCUCCAGGCCCCUGGUCAUCUUGGUUGCCCUCUUCUGCACCUUUUCCAGUUCUACAAUGUCUUUUUUCAGAUGGGACCAGAAUUGUACGUAGUACUCCAGGUAUGGCCACACCAUAGGGCAUUAUAAUAUUAGCCAUUUUAUUUUCAAUCCCCUUGCUAAUGAUCCCUAGCAUGGAAUUGGCCUUUUUCACAGCUGCCGCACAUUGAGUCGACACUUCCAACGAGCUGUCCACCAUGACCCCAAGAUCCCUCUCCUGGUCCGUCACCGACAACUCGGAUCCCAUCAGCAUAUACUUCAAGUUGGGGGUUUUCAUCCCAAUGUGCAUCCCUUUACACUUGCCAACACUGAAGCGCUUUUGCCAUUUUGUCGCCCACUCCCCCAGUUUGGAGAGAUCCUUUUGGAGCUGCUCACAAUCUGUUGUGGAUUUCAAUAACGCUAAUAAGGCACACCACUAUCCUGGAGACCUUCGGUUUUAUAAUGCUAUUUUAAUAAUCCGCUAUCAUUAUGCUUUAUAUACACUUUGUGGAAAUUCGUACUCCGUUUUCUCCCCCUUAAAAAAAGGGGGGGAUUUAAUGUUUUAAUUAGAAUAAUUUUAUAAAUGAAAUUAAAAUGAAACAUGCUUGAAA